CUCUUAUGGAGAGUUUGAUCCUGGCUCAGGACGAACGCUGGCGGCAUGCCUAAUACAUGCAAGUCGAGCGAACUGUUGGAA
rnacentral:rRNA from 2 species